rnacentral:rRNA from 1 species
UACAGAGGGUGCAAACGUUGUUCGGAAUUACUGGGCGUAAAGCGUGUGUAGGUGGCCAUUCAAGUCGGAUGUGAAAGCCACGGGCUCAACCUGUGAAGUGCAUUCGAUACUGCUUGGCUUGAGUAUCGGAGAGGUUGGUGGAAUUCUCGGUGUAGAGGUGAAAUUCGUAGAUAUCGAGAGGAACAUCGGUGGCGAAGGCGGCCAACUGGACGAAUACUGACACUGAGACACGAAAGCGUGGGGAGCAAACAGG